rnacentral:ncRNA from 22 species
GUAACACGGUGGGAGAAGCGGCACUGCCGCUGCCGAAGGCGCAACAGCCCGUAAUCGCUCAGGCCCGAUACCAUCUUCAACA